UCCAGAGACUUGACUUAAUGAGAAGUGGACAGUUGCAAAUCCAGGGGCCUGGGAAAAGCCGAACUACCAUGCACUGAAACCCCAGUGGGAGAGGUGCUGCUGUGAACCCCUCCAUGCCGUGGCCACCUGACCCCGGACAGCCUAGAGGGCUCAGACUGAAGGAACAUGUUCUUCCGUGGCAAUCACCAGAGCUCAACAGGGUGAGUGCAGCUGGGUGAAUGCAUUUGAAGCCUCUGCCCACUGCACAGCCACGAACAUCCCACUGUCACAGGGGAGAGUUACAUGGGCCAGCCCAAGUCAAAGUGUGGGAACUACCCUCCACCCACCACGAGGCUGUGGUCAGUGCAGAUUUAGAACUCCGAGGGGAGAGGGCCGAAUUGAGACCAGUAACUCAAGCUACGCUCCUGCUUAAGUUAGAGGCACGCCACGUGGACCCCAGCAUCUUGAAAGCAUCAUUACUGCCUUGGACUCACACCUGCUCGAGCGUUUUGGACGAUCUGAGGAAGAGGAACGCUUGAAGUGAAGCUCUAACCCUUCUAUAAAGAAGAAAGUUCUCACAUCAACUAUUUGGUUACCUUGAAGAUGAAUUUUACAGGAAAGACAUGCACCUGCUGGGCCUCCUGUUGUACGAUCCAAGAGCGGCACCUGGAGUUUUUCAGACCAGGGAGACCAUCCAGACACCAUGGCUGAGGAUGUCGUCACUGAAGUCCAACCAAACUCCUGAAUCUGCCAUUUACUGUGUGAGCUGGAGUUAAGAAUCUGUGGUUUUUAAUUGCACCUCAGGAUACUACCUGGCUCUGUUCUCAACAACUGCGCCCCUUACAGGCCGAGCGGAGAGACUCAAGAUUGGGUUUGAGAAAGCGACCGAGCUCUGUCCAGUUCUGUUGGGAUGUCCAUCCUGGGAAUCCAACCACCAUGGUGUGAGGAAGCCCAAGCCACACAGAGGCCACGUGCAGAAGCUCCAGCCAACGGUCCCUGCUGAGGUUCCAGCUGGCAGGCAGCCUUGAUCACCAGACACAGGUGCAAGGAAGAUUUCAAAAUGGCUCCACCCCCAACCACUGUAACCACACGAGAGGCUCCAUGUGGGAAUUGGCCAACCCCCAGAACUGGGGGAUGUAGUCAUAGAUGUUGUUUGAAGCCACUAAGUGUUGGGGGUGAUUUGUUAUCUAAAGAACAUUCAGUGACAGCACACUGGUGUGGUGUUUAUAACUCUCAUGUUCCCCACCUCAGUGCUCUGGAACCCCACAUAACACUGUCCCCUCGCUGGAAACCAGCCCACCUCAGAUGGGUUCCUGCUGUUUCUGCACAUUUUCCUGGACACUGCCUACCUCGUGUGCUCUCUGGAAGCUUGCCCUGUGGCGGGGGGCAUGGUCUGCCCUCUUCUCUGGAGUCUGCUGAGACUCCUUCUUCUGGCUUAGCUCUCUGCUGAGAUCACUGCUGAUGUGCUCCAGGCCCCAGGAGGCAUGGAGACAUGGCUCUCCCCAAGCUGUUUCCCCUCCCUAGAGUGGCCAGCAAGAUGCCCUGCAUGGAGGCUGAGAGCUCUUCAGUCAUUGUUCUUGGUACCGGUGUCCCAGACACUGUUCACCACUCUGGACACCUCUACCACCUGCAAUGGGAAACAGAGGCACGAACUUGUGUUUAACUCCCAGCUGCCUCCACGUGAUCCAGGAAAUCUUGCCCAUCACCAAGACCACUUUAGGCCCUGCAGCUAAAAAUGUGAGUCCAAGAAGGAGAAAAUCCUUGCAUCCUCCUUGCCUUGCCCCCCACCUCUGUGACACUCCCUUUUCAUGAAUGUUCUUUCCAAGAUGAUUGGCAGCACCCAUCCCAUUCAAAUUUUACCUGGCAAAUGUCCCAGUGCCCAACCAAGAUGUGGUUCAGCAUGAUGGUCCCAGCAAGUGAUCCCCAGAGAGCCCAGCGCUGGUAUUUUCCUGAAAGUCUGGUCUAUCUACAAGCACCCAGUUCUACUUCUUUUCUUUUUCCAGAGUCCUCUGGCAGAGGUUGGGGCAGGUUCCCCUGCACCUGCCCUCUGUCGGAGAGUUAGUUGCUCAAGGUGCUGAGAGCCAGGGCAGGGCUGGGGCUAAAAGUACAGGCUCCAGAGUGAACCAGACCCAGGUUUUCAUCUGCUUUGUGGCCUGGGCCAAGUCACUUACCCUCUGUGGUCUCUGAAAGGGGGAAGUGGUCUUUCUGGGGCUACCAUGAGGGUCAGUGAGGUAAUGUGUAGAAUGUGCUUUGCAUGGCGCUUGGCACAUUGUAGGCUUUCAAUCAAUAGUGGUUGUCACUCUUGUGAUGUCUUGCUAAGGUCGUGUAGCCAGUCAAGGCACAGACAGCCCUGUGUCCCUGCCUCCGUGCUUCCCCUGGCUGACUGCACCCCUCCUCCCAUCAUGCUUGCACACUCCCACUUCCUGGGGCUUCGUUCUCUCCUCACUGCCACCACCUCUAGAGAGACAGUACAGGGAGGUCCUCAGGGCCACAAAGCCAGCUUCCCCUGGGGCUUCCUUUCUGGGCUUACAAAUCAGAAGAAGUUCUUCCUCUCUGCCUUUGCAGAAAGAAGGUUCCAGAAAAGGAGGACAUGUCACCAUUAGGCCUUUGACUCAGGGUCAAAUGGAUCAAGGCUUGGCUGCUAGAAGCAAUAUGAACCGCCAGAGGACUUGGGGUAUGCAACUCUGCCCCUUACUAGCUGUGUGACCUUGGGCAAGUCCCUUUACCACUUUGAGCCUCAGUUUUGUCAUCUCUGAAAUGGGCAUAGUGGUACCAGCCCAGGGCAUCGGAUGCUUCUGCUUUGGUCUGGGGCCUCCUCUUCUCUGGAACCAAAGUCUCUUUUACCUCCUCCCUAAAAGAAAUCUCAUGGUGAUGAUGUAUACAGGUUUGCUUGCUCUUCACUUUCAAGCACCUUGAGGCCUGGGACCUCUGCUGUGUCCCCUGUUAGUGGCUCCACAUGCCUCACAGGACCAUAUACAAAGAAACCAACCUGUGUCAAAGGAGCCGAUGUUGAUGGAUUUGUGACCUCACAGCUCCCGCUGGGACUGAGAGCCCAGAAGAAAAAGGCCCGAACUAGUGCCCCAACCAGGCAGAGGUAGGGGCAGGGGCAGGCCAAGGAGGGGUGCUCUUAGCUCACCUGGCCUUUGGAGAAUUCUUAGACAGUGGCCCAGGGGCCAGCCCAGCUCAGAGCACUGCAGGCGGGACUAACUCAGAGGAUGACCAGCUGCCCCACUUCCCGGAGUCCUAGAGCCCCAAAGGUGCCUCAGCCAGAGAAAUGUCUACAUUCCACAGGCCUGAGAUGUUUUACUUUCCCCAAGAGCUUCAUCUUGUAAUCUUUGUUAUUCUCGUUGUCAUCAUCCAAUAAGCUUACGUAAUGCUUAUGAUACACCGUGGCUGUUGUAAGUGCUCAAAACAUGUGAAUUCACCUACUGUACCCACUGUACAGCAUGGGUGCUAUUCACUGACCUGGGGCUCACAGAGGCUGGGUAACAUGCCCAUGUCAUGUGGCUAAUGGGCAGAGCGGGGCUCUUUGCUUCCUUCUGAGAGCAGCAGCUGAGAGCAAGGUGCAAAAGUGUUCUAGGCCCAUCCCCAGGCACAACUGUUAAGUUCUCUUCUAUGCCACCUGGGGCCUCGUGAGCUUUGGUUUUUUCAUUUGUAAAUGGGGACAAUAACGGCCAGCUCUAGAGGCACGGGGCUGGGUACAGGAAGGAGCUCAGUACUAGGAAGGAGCUCAGUACUCAAAAUCUGGCCUUCUCUCCUUCCUGUCCACCCCCUGGCCAAGGCUGGCUCCGAAGUCCUCACUGAUACAUUUCUGCUGGAACAACAUUCUGGGGUGGAAGGGGGGUGAGAGCAGAGCCAGGGAGGAGCCUUGACUCCAGGGCUGGCUGCACUGUGGGGCAGCUCGAAUGUGCCAUCCUCAGGCCAGGGAGCGUGUGACCAGACCUUCCCCUGUAAGGCAGAAAGCCUUGGCUGGCCCCUUUAAAGAACACUUGGCCAGGCUCACAGCAACCCCAGGGCCUGGCCCUGAGCUGUGGGCUGUUUGCCAGGGGAGGGUGACCCCGGGUCAGAAGGCCUCCCCAGGAUGACCCACCCCCACCUUUGAGGAAAUCCACUCUGUUCCCCAAAGGAUUCCCUGUGUGAGUGUCCCGCUGGCCAAGGUACACAGGCCUUUGUUUGUGGAGCCUGGGGUGUGGGCAGGAGGGGAGGAUGGGGCUUGGGCCAGGAGGAGCACCUGGCCUGGUGGAAGCCCAUUGGGCACGUGCCCAGGAGUCCUGGAUAUCCCUGGAAAUCAGUUUCUGGCCCCCAGAACCCUACCCCUGGUCCUUCUGGGUCCUCUGGGUGAGGUGAGGCCUAACAGGGACCUCAGGGUCGAGAGGCAGAGACCAGAGUACAGUUUGCCCUUCUCCUAGAGGAAGGGAGCCAGGGAGGGUGGCACUGGCUGAAGGUCACACGGGAGCCCUGGCUGCUGGCCACCGUGGGCUGGGCCUGUCACGGGAGGCCUCUCGUGCACUGAGGGCUUCAAGGUAGCCCUUUGACAUUCUUUGCAAAGGAGGUGACAGCCUUAGGCAUGACUGAGAUAUCCACAGGGCUAAAGGAAGCUCAUUUUAUGGCCACCAGGGAGGGUUCCUCACUGGAGGCACCCCCGUUGGCCCCAAAGCAUGUACAUGCAGAAAAGAAAUCCUUUACCUAGCUCUCAGCUACCCCUGGGGUUCUGCCCAUGGAGGGGGCUUGAAAAGCCAUUACUGAUUGAUUGCAAGCAUUCAAAACAAGACCGUGAUUUUUCUAACCCUAUCUUGAUAUGUCUUGGUUUGGUAAGACAUAUCACUAAGACCCUUAAAAAUGACUCUGGUUAGGGUUGUUCUCCACCUCCGUGGGCCUGGGCCUGGGGACUUCUGGGCGAGUGGCCGGGCAGCCUCCCCCCGACUCCCCACCCACCCUAGGGAUGGUGGGAGGGUGGCGAGGAGUCCCAUCUGAGCCAAGUGCUGAUGUGAGGGACAGGUGGACACCUCCCAAAUCAGCCCCGUGCCGAAGACAGCCUCUUGGCUGCCAGGCCUGUCUCAGACAGCCUCUCUUCUGUGACCUUGGGCCACAGACCCCUACCCCACUCAUCCCCACUCCUGCCUGCGGCCUCAGUGUCUCCACCUGAGCCUUCAAGGGGCUGAGCUGAGUGACCUCUCUGGUAUCUUCCAGCCCUGUCCCUGCAUGGCAAGGACACCAUAGCUCGGUCCUGGGGAAGCCCCUCCGAUGUGGGGAACUACCUCGAGCCGUCCAAGGCUUGAGCUGCCUCAGGAAGGAAAGAAAAUGCUCUUUAAGUUGUCAUAACAGAGCGGGCCUCCAGGCACCUCCUGUUUACCGAGGCUGAGUAAAUACAGCCAGGCCCUUAGCAACAGGCACAAAGGGGCCCUUGUGCCUCCCGCUUGCCCUCCCUCAGCUCCCGCCCUGAGCUCAGCCCCAGCUGGGAGCACUGCGUGAGGCAGGGUGGCCUGGCUCAGGGCCACCUGCUGGGUGACAGUGGUGGGGGCGCCUGGGGUGUGUCAGGGAGCCAGGUCCUCAGGGGUCCCCGUCUUCUGUAGACAGGAGGUUCUGGCCUAUUUCAAUAUGGUUUGUCAGUCAGGGAUGGAGCAGGUAAACCUUAUACCAAGGAAGCGGGGGGUUCAAAGUCAGUCUUAACUGUGACAAUCUAGGCAUGUUAUGAAGCUGCCUUGAGCCUCAGUUUCCUCGUUUGUGAUCAGAGACUACACCUGCCUCACCUGGCCACCUGGGCACCAAAAGAGAUGAAUGUGCAUUCCAUAAAACCUGCCCUGCAGACAGAGGGAAAUGCUUCGGGCCAAGGGGCAGACCAGGAGUUAAGAGUCAAGGAUAAAAUGUCGAGCACUAGAAACACCCAGAGCCCCCUUUGAAUGAUGAGGAGUCUCGCUGCUGGAAGCCUGCUCUGGGCAGGCACUGGGGGGCAGGCAGAGAGGCCCGUACACCUGUUCCCAGAGACCCUCACCGUCUACACAGGGGAUAAGGCAGAGGAUGACGAAGGCUGAUUUCUGUAGUAUGUAAAGUGUUACCACAAAUCAAUAAAAGGAUGACUGGCCUUGUUGAAAAAUGGGAAAAGAUGAGAAAAAGUAAUUCAUAAAAAAAUGGCUGAUAAACAACUGGGGAAAAAAAACCCCCAACACUACCAGUAACAAAAAUGAAAACAAAAGCAACAGUGAGAUUUUCCUUUUUCCCCUCCCAUUAGAUGAUCGAAAGAUUAGAAAUGUUUCUCUGAGUAUUUGCAAGAGUGGGGGAAAUGGGUGUCUUCAUAUACUAACGCUCUGCCAGUUACUAACUCUGGACCACUGCCAUAAAUUUCCCUGGGGCCUCACCUUUCUCAUCUGUAAAAUGGGCAUGACAGCACCCACCUGGCAGGUUUGUGGGAAGAUUAAAUAAGUCAUUACGGAUAAAGUGCUCUGGACAGUGCCCAGGCAAGAAAAAGUGCUUAAUACAUGGUAGUUAUUUAUUUGUAUUAUUACUGUUGGUUUAAAGUAUAAAUUGGUACAACCUUUCUAAACGCCAAUUUGGAAACACGUAUCUCACUUUUAAAUGUGCCCACUAAUUCCAGCUCUAAGAAAAUAAUCAGACAAAUGAGCAAAGAACGAUACACAGAGAUAUUCACCCGAGUGUGGUUUGUGAACACAAGACAUUGGAAAUAAUGUAAAUGGCUGUGAAGAGGGAGCAGAAUAAUUAGAUUAUAAUCCGCCUCUCCGAUGGAAUACGGCCCAGCAACGAGAUCAGAUUGGGUAGACGUGUUCGUAUUGACGUGGAAAGUUUUACAUGUCACACUGAUGGAGAACAAAGCAGGUCAUGUGAUGUCUGAUGCAAAAAGAUGGCAUUUCUGGGAGAGUGUAAACAGAUUUGUAGGGUGUCCGAGCCCUGAAGGACGCAUGCCAGGAUAUUCCCCAGCGUGCUAGCGGCAGUGUUCUCUUAAGGUAGCUGAUAUUUUCUUCUUUAUACCUUUUAUACUUGUUUAUACAAACAAGUAUAAAGUUGUUUUUAAAAAGUUUAUUAAAGCUAUUUUUUUUUUUCCGAUAAUGUUCAAAGGCUGUUAAGUGCUGAAUGGAAACA